ACUCUGUAUUUCAUGAUGAACUCUAUGUGCUUUACUGGACAGAAGCAAGAUGUGACUCAUUGCUCUGAGAUGUCAAUCUUCAUCAGCCUUACUAUUUUUGAGGCCUUCUCCUAUUUUGUGCAUGACUGCUAGCAAGUGUGGAUUUACAGACUUCAGAAAUACAGAACAGUACUGGCAACUACACAAUGUUGUUGCAACAGUUGGUGGUCUUGAAGAAGAGGAAGGUUGCAAUAAGCAUGCACUACUCUUGCAAGAAAUCUGGAACAAAACAUUUGUACCUGUACACUGUAUGCCGCUCUGGGAAAGUGCUUUUUCCUGGCUCCUGAAUAGCUACCGAGGCUUCAGACAGACAGUCUUUACAAAGGUUCUCACGUUGCAAAUUUCCUCCUGUACUUGAGCUUUUUACUGCAAGGAAUUAAUGAACAGGAAGAAAACCCUCCCUUGGCUUUUACUUUCUAAUCAGAAUUUGCAGCAGUAGCUGUCAGAAAUAGCAUUUUAUUUAUAAACAGGUAAGGUUUGAGAUAGCUACCAAGGUGCAAACAUAGAGCAUUCCAAAGCCACCUCAUAAUCCCUUCCCAGAGUCAAACUGCACUUUAAAACAGUACUUUAAAAAGUAUGAACUGUCUUAAACCACCAAAUGACCUGGCACUUCAAAUAAAUAUUUCCAAAAACCAUCAUAAAGAUGAUCGAUUGUUUCUACAGAAGUUUAGCCAUUAGCUUUCCACCAUCACACAGCUUUAAAUUAAAGAUGGAAAGGGUGAUACAGCUUCCCUGAUAGUUCUCAGUAAGGGAAGCACCGUAGAACCUUCAAGGCCCCAACCAAAACCAGGGACUCCUGC